UACAGAGGUCUCAAGCGUUGUUCGGAUUCAUUGGGCGUAAAGGGUGUGUAGGUGGCGCUGUAAGUCGGGUGUGAAAUUUCGGAGCUUAACUCCGAAACUGCAUUCGAUACUGCGGUGCUUGAGGACUGGAGAGGAGACUGGAAUUCAUGGUGUAGCAGUGAAAUGCGUAGAGAUCAGGAGGAAGACCAGUGGCGAAGGCGGGUCUCUGGACAGUGCCUGACGCUGAGGCACGAAGGUCAGGGGAGCAAACGGG
rnacentral:rRNA from 1 species